rnacentral:rRNA from 1 species
UACAGAGGGUGCGAGCGUUAAUCGGAUUUACUGGGCGUAAAGCGUGUGUAGGUGGCUUCCUAAGUCGAUUGUGAAAUCCCUGGGCUCAACCUGGGGAUUGCAGUCGAUACUGGGGAGCUCGAGUUCGGUAGAGGACGGCGGAAUUCCCGGUGUAGCGGUGAAAUGCGUAGAUAUCGGGAGGAACAUCGAUGGCGAAAGCAACCGUCUGGGCCUGAACUGACACUGAGACACGAAAGCGUGGGGAGCAAACAGG